UACGUAGGGGGCGAGCGUUGUCCGGAAUCAUUGGGCGUAAAGCGCGUGUAGGCGGCUUGGUAAGUCUGGUGUGAAACCUUGGGGCUCAACCCCAAGCCUGCACUGGAUACUGCCUGGCUUGAGUCCGGGAGGGGAGAGCGGAAUUCCUAGUGUAGCGGUGAAAUGCGCAGAUAUUAGGAAGAACACCGGUGGCGAAGGCGGCUCUCUGGAACGGUACUGACGCUGAGACG
rnacentral:rRNA from 1 species